AUUGAACGCUAGCGGCAGGCUUAACACAUGCAAGUCGAGCGAGCGGCGGACGGGUGAGUAAUAUCUGGGAAACUGCCUGAUGGCGGGGGAUAACUACUCGAAACAGUGGCUAAUACCGCAUACCAUCAGAUGUGCCCAGAUGGGAUUAGCUAGUUGGUGGGGUAAAGGCUCACCUAGGCGACGAUCCCUAGCUGGUCUGAGAGGAUGACCAGCCACACUGGAACUGAGACACGGCCCAGACUCCUACGGGAGGCAGCAGUGGGGAAUAUUGGACAAUGGGGGCAAGCCUGAUGCAGCCAUGCCGCGUGUGUGAAGAAGGCCGUCGGGUUGUAAAGCACUUUCAGCGAGGAGGCGUUACCCGCAGAAGAAGCACCGGCUAACUACGUGCCAGCAGCCGCGGUAAUUC
rnacentral:rRNA from 1 species